rnacentral:rRNA from 1 species
UCUCAGUUCGGAUUGUAGUCUGCAACUCGACUACAUGAAGCUGGAAUCGCUAGUAAUCGUAGAUCAUCAUGCUACGGUGAAUACGUUCCCGGGUCUUGUACACACCGCCCGUCACACCACGAGAGUUUGUAACACCCGAAGCCGGUGGAGUAACCUUUUAGGAGCUAGCCGUCGAAGGUGGGACAAAUGAUUGGGGUGAAGUCGUAACAAGGUAGCCGUAUCGGAAGGUGCGGCUGGAUCACCUCCUUU